UUCCUUGGAAAAGGACAGCUGAGAGGGUGAAACUCCCGUCCGCCUGGUAAAACGAGUCUUUGUCAACGAGUCGAGUUGUUUGGGAUUGCAGCUCUAAUUUGGUGGUAAAUUCCAUCUAAAGCUAAAUAUUGGUGGGAGACCGAUAGCGUACAAGUACCGUGAGGGAAAGAUGCAAAGAACUUUGAAAAGAGAGUUAAAGAGUACCUGAAAUUGCUGAAACGGAAGCGAAGGAAACCAGUGUUUGUUGGUUCAUAUUUCCUUGGCCACUUGUGGUUUGGGCG
rnacentral:rRNA from 1 species